rnacentral:rRNA from 1 species
UCUGGUUGAUCCUGCCAGAGGUUACUGCUAUCGAGGUUCGACUAAGCCAUGCGAGUCGAAUGUAGCAAUACAUGGCGAACUGCUCAGUAACACGUGGACAACCUGCCCUUAGGACGGGGAUAAACCCGGGAAACUGGGUAUAAUACCCGAUAGGUCUCGAUUGCUGGAAUGCAUCGAGAUUUAAAGCUCCGGCGCCUAAGGAUGGGUCUGCGGCCUAUCAGGUAGUAGUGGGUGUAGCGUACCUACUAGCCUACGACGGGUACGGGUUGUGAGAGCAAGAGCCCGGAGAUGGAUUCUGAGACACGAAUCCAGGCCCUACGGGGUGCAGCAGGCGCGAAAACUUUACAAUGCUGGCAACAGCGAUAAGGGAACCUCGAGUGCCAGGUUACAAAUCUGGCUGUCGAGAUGCCUAAAAAGCAUUUCAUAGCAAGGGCCGGGCAGGACCGGUGCCAGCCGCCGCGGUAACACCGGCGGCUCGAGUGGUAACCGUUAUUAUUGGGUUUAAAGGGUCUGUAGCCGGCCGGAUAAGUCUCUUGAGAAAUCUGGCAGCUUAACUGUCAGGCUUUCAGGAGAUACUGUCUGGCUCGAGGCCGGGAGAGGUGAGAGGUACUUCAGGGGUAGGGGUGAAAUCUUGUAAUCCUUGAAGGACCACCAGUGGCGAAGGCGUCUCACCAGAACGGACCUGACGGCAAGGGACGAAAGCUAGGGGCACGAACCGGAUUAGAUACCCGGGUAGUCCUAGCCGUAAACGAUACUCGCUAGGUGUCGGCCACGGUGCGACCGUUGUCGGUGCCGUAGGGAAGCCGUGAAGCGAGCCACCUGGGAAGUACGGCCGCAAGGCUGAAACUUAAAGGAAUUGGCGGGGGAGCACCACAACGGGUGGAGCUUGCGGUUUAAUUGGAUUCAACGCCGGA